UACGUAGGGUGCAAGCGUUGUCCGGAAUUAUUGGGCGUAAAAGAGCUCGUAGGCGGUCUGUCGCGUCGGCUGUGAAAACUCGGGGCUCAACUCCGAGCUUGCAGUCGAUACGGGCAGGCUAGAGUUCGGCAGGGGAGACUGGAAUUCCUGGUGUAGCGGUGAAAUGCGCAGAUAUCAGGAGGAACACCAAUGGCGAAGGCAGCUCGCUGGGACGGUACUGACGCUGAGACGCGAAAGCGUGGGGGAGCAAACAGG
rnacentral:rRNA from 1 species